rnacentral:rRNA from 1 species
AUUGAACGCUGGCGGCAGGCCUAACACAUGCAAGUCGGGCGAGCGGAGGACGGGUGAGUAAUGUAUGGGGAUCUGCCUGAUGGCGGGGGAUAACUACUGGAAACGGUAGCUAAUACCGCAUACCAUCAGAUGAACCCAUAUGGGAUUAGCUUGUAGGUGAGGUAACUGCUCAACUAGGCGAAGAUCCCUAGAUGGUCUGAGAGGAUGAUCAGCCACACUGGGACUGAGACACGUCCCAGACUCCUACGGGAGGCAGCAGUGGGGAAUAUUGCACAAUGGGCGCAAGCCUGACGCAGCCAUGCCGCGUGAAUGAAGAAGGCCUUCGGGUUUUAAAGUUCUUUCGGUAGCGAGGCGUUAACUACAGAAGAAGCACCGGCUAACUCCGUGCCAGCAGCCGCGGUAAUAC